GAAGACACCAGUGGACUCCACAACGAAGUCAGCACCAGCCUCACCCCAUGGGAUCUCCUCAGGAUUCCUAACACCGAAGACAGUGACUGGCUUCUCGCCAAAGAGGAGAGUCUUAGAGUCCUUCACCUUUAUCUCAUGGUGCUUCCACUGACCGUGCACUGUGUCAUACUUGAACAUGUAUGUCAUGUAAUCAGUCGUGAUGAACGGAUCGUUGACGGCAACGAGCUCGAUGUCAUCGCUCUGGAGUGCAACCCUAGCAACCAAGCGCCCGAUCCUUCCGAAGCCGUUGAUCCCGAUCUUGAUCUUGCCCAUGGCG
rnacentral:misc_RNA from 1 species